AUACGGAGGGUGCGAGCGUUACUCGGAGUCACUGGGCGUAAAGCGUCCGUAGGCGGUCGGGUAAGUCGGGUGUGAAAGCCCCGGGCUCAACCUGGGAAGUGCACCCGAUACUGCUCGACUCGAGUGCGGGAGAGGAUGGCGGAAUUCCCGGUGUAGCGGUGAAAUGCGUAGAGAUCGGGAGGAACACCAGUGGCGAAGGCGGCCAUCUGGCCCGCAACUGACGCUGAGGGACGAAAGCGUGGGGAGCAAACAGGAUUAGAAACCCUGGUAGUCC
rnacentral:rRNA from 1 species